GCCUAGGUGGCUCAGUAGGUUGAGCGUCCGACUUUGGCUCAUGUCAUGAUCUCACAGUUUGUGGGUUCGAGCCCUGCCUCAGGCU
rnacentral:tRNA from 1 species